rnacentral:rRNA from 1 species
GUUUAUCGGAAGUGGUGGGAGUGGUGCGAACGGGCGGGUCUUUUGUCUCUUAGUGGAGAUGUGUAUGAUGGCAUAACGAGGGCUUAUUGUCUCCUUUUUCAGGUCAAUGAAUUGAUCUCCCCGUGCAGAACGGGGAUAAUAACAUAAGACGAGAAGACCCUAUGGAGCUUUAGACACCAAGCAGCCCAUGUCAAAACCACCCCCACACGGAAAUAAACUAAAUGGACCCUGCCCUAUUGUCUUUGGUUGGGGCGACCACGGGGAAACACAAAACCCCCACGCGGAAUGGGAGCACACCUCCUAAAACCAAGAGCCACAGCUCUAAUUAACAGAAUUUCUGACCACUAUGAUCCGGGCAAUGCCGAUCAACGGGACCGAGUUACCCUAGGGAUAACAGCGCAAUCCUCUUUUUAGAGCCCAUAUCGACAAGAGGGUUUACGACCUCGAUGUUUGGAUCAGGA